ACAGCGACUUGCAGGUUUCGCCUUCCUUGAUUUAUUUUUCUGGUUCGAAAAAGGAGCAUGCUCCUUUUGCAAAAUAACUUUCACGUGAGUGACAGUGCUGAAUAAAACCCAAACUAUCACUCGCUAUGUAGUGCCAGGACACUCAUCCCUUAUUGGAAUCAAUAUGUUUUAAAUGGGAGAAGAUUUCUCUGUCUGUGGGUGUAGGUCUAAUGGUUAUUUGUUUCACUAACCUCAGGGGCAGGGGUUAGGUAAACAGAAAGGCUGAUCAGUAUCUUUGACCUCAAGCCUAAGUCCCAGCAAGUUACAGUGUGAAGUGACUAAAUGGUCACAGUGGAUUACAUCACAAUGGGUUUGCUGUAUAAAGCCCAGAGCAUUUUAAAGCUUAGGCUUAUUUCUCCUAAGGGUAGGUAGUGGCUGGGUGGGUUUCUUUUACAGAGCUAGAAACAGACUGGUGGGUUUUGUUGUUUUUUACCUUUUUUUCACACUGAAUCCUUAUUUAGGGAAAUUGAUUUGUACCUGUGGCAAAGGUAUUCAAAAAUAUAUUUUUUUCCUAUUCAGGUCACAGUUUUGUAAGAAAAUCAAAGGGCAUGAUCAACAGCUUGUGCACUGCCUUGGUGUGGAACCAGAGUUCAAGCACAGACAAAAAUCAGACACUGAUUUCCCACUUCUGAUAGGGUAAUGAAGAAUUCAGAGGUCAACCCUAUACUUAAAUCCAGGCGUAAAAGAAGGGAGAAAAGAUCGAGGAGCUUAGAACAGAUUUCUAGCAACACUGAACGCAGGAGCAUGAGCCCUCAGAGUGACUAUAAAUUUCAGGACCUCAUCCACCACAUCCACAGGCAGAUGGAGGGCCAUCCUCACCACCAGGUCUACCAGCGCCACGUCUCCCCAGAAGAUUUGCUCCUCCUUCUCCAAGUUCUUUACCUAGAAUAAGUGGUAAACCAUCACCACCACGACCACCUUCGUUGGAGGACCUCCUCCUCCAGGAUUACCACAUGCUCUGUCUUAUGGAAUGAAGCAGAAAUAGAUGUAUAAACAUGAACUCUGUAUAUUGAGUCUUGAACGGCAUGACUUGAUUCUCCUUUGAGAGAAUUAACUCAUCAAAGGGAAAACUUGCACUAGAGUUUUUGGGUGUCUUCUGGCCAUUAGCAGUCAUUAAUGUGUGAAAACUGCAUAGUUUUGUGUAAGAAUGAUAUAAUUUUAGAGAAUGUGACUGCUGACUCUUUCCUUUGUGAGCUCACCAUCUUAUAUUCCUCUUUCAGAACAGUCUUUCAAUAAUUGAAAACUUCACAGAGAAUGUGAAAUUCAUCUAGGAGGCAAAAUUAUCUUUGCAAAUUGAUGUUUAGUCUCCUAAGGCUGCCAUAAUAAAUUCCUACAAACUAAAUGACUUCAAAAAACAAACUUUGGUCAAUUCUGAAGGCCAGUCAUCCAAAAUCAAGGUGUUGGCAGGGCUAUGCUCCCUCUCGAGGCUCUGUUCCUUGCCUCUUCCAGCUUCUGAUGGCUAUUGGCAUUCUGUGGCUUUGGCCACAUCUCUCUCUGCUCCAUAGUCACAUGGCUAUCGCCUCUGUGUAUCUGUACACUCCCACUUCCUCUCUUUUAUAAGGAUACAUGUGACUACAUUUAGAACCCACGCAGAUAAUCCAGGAUAAAUCCCUCCUCUCAAGAUCCUUAAAUUAAUCACAUCUUUUGCCAUAUAAGGUAAUGUUCACAGGUUCUAUGGAUUAAGACAAGAACAUAUUCUUUUGGAGGCCACCAUUCAUCCCACUUCAAUAAAA